CAGGAGUAGCUUGCUACUUGCUGACGACCGGCGCACGGGUGCGUAACGCGUAUAGAAUCUACCUUGUACUAGGGGAUAGCCUUUGGAAACGAAGAUUAAUACCCUAUAGUAAGUAUUUAUGGCAUCAUUUAUACUUUAAAGGUUACGGUACAAGAUGACUAUGCGUCCUAUUAGUUUGUUGGUGAGGUAACGGCUCACCAAGACUUCGAUAGGUAGGGGCCCUGAGAGGGGGAUCCCCCACACUGGUACUGAGACACGGACCAGACUCCUACGGGAGGCAGCAGUGAGGAAUAUUGGACAAUGGAGGCAACUCUGAUCCAGCCAUGCCGCGUGCAGGAUGACGGCCCUAUGGGUUGUAAACUGCUUUUAUGUAGGAAGAAACACUCUCACGUGUGAGAGCUUGACGGUACUACAAGAAUAAGGACCGGCUAACUCCGUGCCAGCAGCCGCGGUAAUACGGAGGGUCCAAGCGUUAUCCGGAAUCAUUGGGUUUAAAGGGUCCGUAGGCGGGCUAUUAAGUCAGAGGUGAAAGUUUGCAGCUCAACUGUAAAAUUGCCUUUGAAACUGGUAGUCUUGAAUUAUUAUGAAGUGGUUAGAAUAAGUAGUGUAGCGGUGAAAUGCAUAGAUAUUACUUAGAAUACCAAUUGCGAAGGCAGAUCACUAAUAAUAUAUUGACGCUGAGGGACGAAAGCGUGGGGAGCGAACAGGAUUAGAUACCCUGGUAGUCCACGCCGUAAACGAUGGAUACUAGCUGUUCGGAUUUAUCUGAGUGGCUAAGCGAAAGUGAUAA
rnacentral:rRNA from 1 species